rnacentral:lncRNA from 1 species
AUUAGGGAUGGCCUGCAGGCGCACUGUGAAUCGUAUUCGGAUCCCGAAAACAAGUAAGGACCCCUCACCCUAUUUCCUAUCACGGUAUUAAAGUUCAAAAUGAUAAAACGGUAUUUCUUGAAUUAACACAUGUGUGAAAUUGCUUAAGGUUGCUAAUGGAGCCCGAGUCUAGUGUGAUUGAUGAUUUACUGUUAUUUGGCCUGUUUUACACUGUUUUACAGC